rnacentral:rRNA from 1 species
AACGAACGCUGGCGGCAUGCCUAACACAUGCAAGUCGAACGAGACCUUCGGGUCUAGUGGCGCACGGGUGCGUAACGCGUGGGAACCUGCCCUUAGGUUCGGAAUAACUCCCCGAAGGGGGUGCUAAUACCGGAUAGUGUCUUCGGACCAAAGAUUUAUCGCCUUUGGAUGGGCCCGCGUUGGAUUAGCUAGUUGGUAGGGUAAAAGCCUACCAAGGCGACGAUCCAUAGCUGGUCUGAGAGGAUGAUCAGCCACACUGGGACUGCGACACGGCCCAGACUCCUACGGGAGGCAGCAGUGGGGAAUAUUGGACAAUGGGCGAAAGCCUGAUCCAGCAAUGCCGCGUGAGUGAUGAAGGCCUUAGGGUUGUAAAGCUCUUUUACCCGGGAUGAUAAUGACAGUACCGGGAGAAUAAGCUCCGGCUAACUCCGUG